GUCAAUUACCCACGACUGAAGUCGCGGGCUUGUGAAAACGAGUCCGGAGUUGAUUAGCCAAAGAUCUGCGGGAUCUACGUUGAGAGAGUCAUAACACCCAUGGACAUAUCACCUAAUCUGCGGCUCUGU
rnacentral:sRNA from 1 species